AACGAACGCUGGCGGCGUGUCUUAAGCAUGCAAGUCGUGCGGCAAGGGCAGCAAUGCCCCCUAGAGCGGCGGACUGGUGAGUAAACGCGUGGGUGAUCUGCCCUUGGGAUGGGGGAUAGCCACUAGAAAUAGUGGGUAAUACCGAAUACGUUCCCCCCGAUGUGGUUGGGGGAGGAAAAGCGCUUCGGCGCUGCCCGAGGAUGAGCCCGCGUCCCAUUAGCUAGUUGGCGGGGUAAAGCCCACCAAGGCGAUGAUGGGUAGGCGGCCUGAGAGGGUG
rnacentral:rRNA from 1 species